rnacentral:rRNA from 1 species
CCUACGGGAGGCAGCAGUGGGGAAUAUUGCACAAUGGGGGAAACCCUGAUGCAGCGACGCCGCGUGAGGGAGGAAGUAUUUCGGUAUGUAAAGCUCUAUCAGCAGGGAAGAAAUAACGACCUUUGGUUCGCCAGACGGUAUCUGAUUAAGAAGCCCCUGCUAACUACGUGCCAGCAGCCGCGGUAAUACGUAGGGGGCAAGCGUUAUCCGGAUUUACUGGGUGUAAAGGGGGCGUGGACGGCAGCGCAAGUCUGAAGUGAAAUGCCGGGGCUUAACCCCGGAACUGCUUUGGAAACUGUGCGGCUAGAGUGCAGGAGAGGUAAGUGGAAUUCCUGGUGUAGCGGUGAAAUGCGUAGAUAUUAGGAGGAACACCAGUGGCGAAGGCGGCUUGCUGGACUGUAACUGACGUUGAGGCUCGAAAGCGUGGGGAGCGAACAGGAUUAGAUACCCGAGUAGUC